GCACUAAUGAAGCCGAGGACGGUCCCAAGCCCGUGAAAAUUCAGAGGGGUGC
ncrna:unclassified sequences type-P1 twister ribozyme